rnacentral:rRNA from 2 species
UACGAAGGGGGCUAGCGUUGCUCGGAAUCACUGGGCGUAAAGCGCACGUAGGCGGAUUGUUAAGUCAGGGGUGAAAUCCCAGAGCUCAACUCUGGAACUGCCUUUGAUACUGGCGAUCUUGAGUCCGGAAGAGGUGAGUGGAACUCCGAGUGUAGAGGUGAAAUUCGUAGAUAUUCGGAAGAACACCAGUGGCGAAGGCGGCUCACUGGUCCGGUACUGACGCUGAGGUGCGAAAGCGUGGGGAGCAAACAGG